CAAUCAAUCUAUCGCUAAUCUGUCCCGCACUAACAAAACCGGUCGCCCGCACGACCUCCACCUUCUCCUCCCGCACGACCUCCUCCUCCUCCCGCGCCGUUCGCCUCCCACGGCCUCGCGCCGAGCCACGGGAAGCCGCGCCCCUCACCGCCGCCUCGCGCCGCCGGAGCCACGGGAAGCCCCGCAGGUCGCCGGGAGCCCGCCCCCGCCGCGCCGUUCGCCGCCUCCCCAGCCGCGGGAGCCCGCCCCCGCCGCGGGUCGCUGCCUCCCCAGCCACGGGAGCACGCCCCCGCCGCGGGAGCUGUCCCGCCGCGGGUCGUCGCCUCCCCAGCCACCGGAGCCGCCCCGCCGCGCCCGUGGAACUGCAGUACUUCUUCCCCGUCUUCCACUUGGGCUCUAACUACGGCCUCCGCUUUGUGCACUCGGACGCAAUCGCAGCCCCACCAUUGCUAGCCUCGCCUCCCACCAGGUAAACGGCCCUGCUUCAUCAAGCUCUGACCCUGCUUCUUCUCCUAACUCCGGUCUCUUUCUUCUCCAUAUUCCAAUCUGUUCUAAUAGUACAUCAAUCCAAGCAACUAUUUUUAGAUCAAUUAAGGAAUCAAUCUUACGAUGGCUGAUGCUCAAUGCAGCGGAGGAUUACAGGUGUAUUGUCGGUAGUUUCAAUUUAAUCGGGUGGUCGUCAUCACCGUGAGGCCGCCGAUGUUUUUGUAACCCCCUAAGUUUGAUGUUUUAAAGUCAGAGUUAGUGAAGUUUGGUUGCUUAUAGCUAGACGAGUGAGCUUAAAAGUAGACUUAUUGUUGUGGUUGUUCAAAAGUUUUUGUUUCUGUUCUUGUUGUCUAUGCCCUUUACACAUUGACUGAUGUUUGUUUCUGCCAUCUGAAAAGGCCUUUUCUACCACAGUGUUAUCCCUCGGCGUCAUUCUCAACAAGCACCAGGACAUGGCUUUGUUUCUGCCAAGUAUGUAUAUAUAGAAAAUAUUUAUUCUGCAGAAAUUUGCUAAUUAUUACUAUAGCUUUGAUGCCUACUAGACCAAAUCAAAGGCAGGUGCUUUGUUUAUCAAGUGAAGUAAGUCAAACUGUUAUAGUAGGAGGAUUAUCCUAACAUAACAGUCUUUAUUUGUUUCAUAGAAAUCAUGUACAGUUGGUUCAGACAACGCUUAGCAUAGAUCAAGUUCAGUUGCUCUUGCAUUCUUAGAUCGAUGUUAAAAGGCACAUUGUGAUCUCAUAACGAGCGUUCUAACUGUCAUUUUUAAAAACAGAGUCUGCUAUUUUCCGAAACGAAAUAUGAGAAAUCAAACCGUAUGGUUCUCUAAUUUUAUGGUACUAAAUUUAGAUAUAUUAUAGGCACUAUUAUGAUAGCUUCAUUUAGUUUACAUGAGCAUGCCAAGCUAGAUGAUAUUAUAGGCCUUUAGGUGUUGCUAUUCUCUAUUGUCGGCCACAUCUUAAAUUGUAGUUAUUGGUGUUGUUCUUAAGCACAACCCAAAAUGAUGUGCAUCAAUUGCAUAUUUUUCUAAACCUACCAAAUUUGACCUGUGCUAAUUUUUUCCUUUUAAUAAAAUAGGUUCACCUUCAAAUUUGUAUUUUUUGGUUUUUCCUUCUAUACUAAAUGUGUUUCUGAAAGAGGAUGUCAACAGAGCAUACAGAAGGAGGAGAGAGCAGCAGCAAGAGAGGAGAAGUUAAGAACAAGACACAUGCUUCAGAUUAACUCCUAUUUCUGAACCAAUAUGCUUUUGAUGAUUGAAUUAGAUUAAAAAGGUCUACAUUUCUUCAGAUUAACAGAUUCAAAUAGUAUGAUUUCGGAAUGCAAAUAAUUCUUCCAUAUGUUUGACUACAAUGUGUUGUCGUGCAAAUAUGCAGAAGGAUGACCUCGGUUUUGGGGACUUGGUUUUGUGAAUCGGUGUGUUAUAUUGACCAAAUAUCUUAGUAUUUGUACAAUGCGGCAAUAUGGAUAGACUUGUCGCUGCUUUUACUGGAUUGAUAUAUCAUAUUGUAUGUAUAAUUAUUCAAUACAUAUAUACUUGCAACAACUACUAAUUGUAAUUUCUUCUCCACCUACAAAGAUAUGUAGAAUCAUCUUACAUAUUUUCAUGUUGAUACCUAAUUUUCAUAUCCAUACUGUUGGGGCGAGCUAAAACUACAAGGCCUCACAGUGCAUAGGGGCAUACAAUAAAGUUUUCAGGUUUGUCCCUAGAACUAUCAUAUCCAGACAAGAUAUUUGCUUGCAGAACCACCAGAGCUGAACCUUGUAGGUAAUUUUACAUGGUGUACAGGUUGACCUUUCCAACAAGUAUUAACAUAAUCAGUGGCAGGGCGCCCAUGAUCAUCUGUGAUUUGCAUUGAAGUGAGAUAAGGUUUACUCAUGUUUUCAUAUUUUGUUUCUCAUUUCUGAUUUGCUUGGUUGAUUUUCAAUUCAUGUUGUUCGUUUGACAAAAAGAAUCGGGAGAGGAAGGAAAGAGAGGAGGAAGCAUAAUCUUGGGAGUAAGGAAGAUGCUGACAGCUUCUGCAUCCACAAAGUCCAUGUUCAGAAAAGGCAAAAACUAAUCCUUGAGCAAGCUUACUCCUGCAAAUGUUGACCAUCAAACAAUCCUCUUCAUGCCCUGUUGAAAAUAAUUUCUCCACCCAAUGGCAUCUAUCGAGGUUGGGCGGCAGCUUGGCAGCCGGAGCAGGCUUCUAUACCUCGGUGUUCUAGGCCGCCGCGGCCAGGAGCUGCGUCGGGCAGGCUGGCGUCGUCGCUGAGGUUGGACACCGGCGGCAGUGUCGAUACAGGGGAGACCGGAAGCGUUGGUGGCAGCGCGAGGUCGUAUCGGAGGUGGAGGCUGCGGGGCGAGCCGUGGUGGGGAGAGGAUGCCGAGGGCGAGCCGUGGUGAGGAGAGGAGGCGGCAGGGAGAAGCGACAUGUGCGAGGCUGUGAGGUGGGCAGAGUGGAUGUUGUGCGGUGAGAGGACUGGAUUUUUUCUGAUAACUAAUGCUUCUUUUUUUUCUUGAGAAACACAUCUUUAUUAUUUCUAUAAGUGUGGCUA